UUUCAGAAAACUUAAGUUUGAAUAAAUCAAAAAGAAACCAAGUCUUCUAAACAUCUUUUAACAAUGAAAACUUCACCACAAAUUAUUUAUAAUCAUACCUGAGAUCUCAAGGGUCUUUGAUCAAAAAAACUUCAAUUCUUUUCGUCAAUCUUCAUCUUCUAAUUCUUCGAGACUCCGUUCAAUACUUCACGAAAUUCGCCAACUUAUAAAAUCCUUAACACGAACUACAAGGAUAUCCUUGAGUCCCGGUACCACCGUAGACACCUCUACUACCGUC
rnacentral:lncRNA from 1 species